AACGAAGGUGGCUAGCGUUAUCCGGAUUUACUGGGCGUAAAGCGCGUGCAGGCGGGUCGCCAAGUUGGGGAUGAAAACUCAAGGCUCAACCUUGGGACUGCCUGCCAGACUGGUCAGCUUGAGGCAGAGAGAGGGACGUGGAAUUCCGGGUGUAGUGGUGAAAUUCGUAGAUAUCCGGAGGAACUCCAGAGGCGAAGGCGGCGUCCUGGCUCGGUGCUGACGCUGAGACGCGAAAGCAUGGGGAGCGAACGGG
rnacentral:rRNA from 1 species